rnacentral:rRNA from 1 species
UUGGAGGGGCAAGUCUGGUGCCAGCAGCCGCGGUAAUUCCAGCUCCAAUAGCGUAUAUUAAAGUUGUUGCAGUUAAAAAGCUCGUAGUUAAACUUCAGACCUGGCCGGGCGGUCCGCCUAACGGCGUGUACUGUCUGGCUGGGCCUUACCUCUUGGUGAGCCGGCAUGCCCUUCACUGGGUGCGUCGGGGAACCAGGACCUUUACCUUGAGAAAAUUAGAGUGUUCAAAGCAGGCUUACGCCGGAAUACAUUAGCAUGGAAUAAUAAAUAGGACGUGUCGG